rnacentral:rRNA from 1 species
GCAACGCCGCGUGGAGGAUGACGGUCUUCGGAUUGUAAACUCCUGUCAUCGGGGAGUAAGACCUGGCUGUGAAUAGCAGACAGGGUUGAUAGUACCCGAAGAGGAAGGGACGGCUAACUUCGUGCCAGCAGCCGCGGGAAUACGAAGGUCCCGAGCGUUGUUCGGAAUCACUGGGCGUAAAGGGAGCGUAGGCGGCAGGGUAAGUCAGAUGUGAAAUCCCGGGGCUCAACCCCGGAACGGCAUCCGAUACUGCCCUGCUUGAGUAAUGGAGGGGUAGCUGGAAUUCUCGGUGUAGCAGUGAAAUGCGUGGAUAUCGAGAGGAACACUCGUGGCGAAAGCGAGCUACUGGACAUUGACUGACGCUGAGGCUCGAAGGCCAGGCUAGCGAAAGGGAUUAGAUACCCCUGUAGUCCUGGCAGUAAACGGCGUGCGCUUGGUGUGAGGGGUUUCGACCCCCUUUGUGCCGGAGCUAACGCGUUAAGCGCACCGCCUGGGAAGUACGGUCGCAAGACUAAAACUCAAAGAAAUUGACGGGGACCCGCACAAGCGGUGGAGUAUGUGGCUUAAUUCGAUGCAACGCGAAGAACCUUACCUGGGCUUGACAUGCAUUGCUAAUCCGCUGAAGGGCGGUGAGUCUUCGGACACCUUGCACAGGUGCUGCAUGGCCGUCGUCAGCUCGUGUCGUGAGAUGUUGGGUUAAGUCCCGCAACGAGCGCAACCCCUGUGAUUAGUUGCCAGCACGUGAAGGUGGGGACUCUAAUCAGACUGCCCAGAUCAACUGGGAGGAAGGUGGGGACGACGUCAGGUCAGUAUGGCCCUUACGCCCAGGACUGCACACGUACUACAAUGCCCAGCACAAUUGGAACCGAUACCGCGAGGUGGAGGGAAUCCGAAAAACUGGGCCCAGUUCGGAUUGGAGGCUGCAACUCGCCUCCAUGAAGCCGGAA